GGAACUAUGCCUGAAACUUUAAGGACCACUUUGAUAGAGUGAAUCACGGGGGUUAAAAUCCCCCUAGUUCCU
rnacentral:tRNA from 1 species